ACCAUCUACCCAAGUUCUUGAACUUGUUCCUGCUGCCACCCCCAGGAAUGGCCAAGGAAGAGCAGCCGGGAUCACAGGCUUGGGUGCUUUGAUGCUUUGGAGUUGAAGCACCCCUUCCUCGGUGACCCUGGGAGAGACACUUUCCUUAUCAGUAAAGUGAGUUAAUACGACCUGCUUCAGAGGUAGCUGUGAGAGGGGGAAAGCUAAUGCAGGAAAGAGCCAAGACAGCUCCAAGCAGGUGACAAAUGCAGUGUCCUCACAGUGUCAUGGGUAUAGGUAGGUUCUGUUCAGCUCUACAUUUACUUACAGGGUGGCCUUUGUCUCAGAGCCUCGAUUUCCUGUUUUGUAAAAUGGGGACACUAAUAUCUAUUCCCUAGGGCGGCUGACGGAGUUGCUAUCUGAGAUUCCAAAGCAAGAGAACUGGUCCUUUCUUGUUGUUAAAAGAUUCCAUUUUUGAGCGCGACAGAGAAACCCAAUGAUGACCAGUGCAGGACUGUCAUCCAAUUCAACCAAAUUCAGGGCUCUUCUCGCUCUCUUACCCUGUGCUAUGGUUUGGAUCCGGAAUGUCCCCUGAAGGCCCAUGUCCCCAGCCUGCAGUGCUAUUGGGAGGUGGGGCCUAGUGGGAGGAAGUGAGGUCAUUGGGGUGUGCCCCUGAAAGGGAUGUGGGGAUCGGAGCCCUGCUUCCCUCUCUGCUUCCUGGCUGCCAUGGGAGGGGAACAGAAACUCCUGACACUCUCCCACCAUGAUGGACUGGGCUGCCACAGCCCCCAAAGCCACAAGGCCAAGUGAUUGUGGAUGGAAACCUCUGAAACUAUGAGCUAAAACAUGCCUUUUUCUCCUUUGAAGUUGAUUCUCUCAGGUAUUUUGUCACAGGGACAGAAAGCUGACUAGCUUGCCUGGGUUUGCCUUUCUAACAACCCUUCUUCUUUUAAAAGUUCCCAAUCAUCUAAGGGUUCCAUGCCUGUGUCCCUCAACCUGGGGACAUGGGCCUUCAUUUGUUCCACAAAUUCAAAAUUUUACAUUAGGCUAUUUCUUUACCCAGAGAACCAAAAAGUAGGUCGAACUAAAAACAAUGAAUAACAUUGAUACAGUAUUUCACAAUUUCCAGAAUAAUUUUCACACAUGUUUAAUGUUCAGAAUAUAAUCAUGGAAGAUAGAUAUUUACAUAAUAAUGUUAUGUGACAAUGAAAUCGAAGCUCAAAGAGGUCAAGGGAUUUAUCCAAAAUCACAAAGCUAGUAAGUGGGGGAGCCAGAAUUUGAAUCCAGACUGAAUUCAAAGUUCUGCUCCUCUUUUAUUACCUCCAUUGUAGAUUCCACCUCCCAAAUAAGAGCAACACAUGAGCAUUUGCAAUUGGCACGUUCGUUUGUUCAUUCAUUCAUUUACCCAAAAUGAUUUAGCACCCAGAAUAUCCAGACACUAUUCUAAACACAGUUAUGAAGAAAAUACAUAAGAGCA
rnacentral:lncRNA from 1 species